rnacentral:rRNA from 1 species
AUUGAACGCUGGCGGCAUGCCUAACACAUGCAAGUCGAACGCGAAAGAGGGGCAACUCUUGAGUAGAGUGGCGGACGGGUGAGUAAUACGUAGGAAUCUGCCCUGGAGUGUGGAAUAACCCAUCGAAAGAUGGGCUAAUACCACAUAAUCUCUAAGGAGCAAAGGGGGCUAGCAAUAGCUUUCGCUUUGGGAUGAGCCUACGUCGGAUUAGCUAGUUGGUAGGGUAAAGGCCUACCAAGGCGACGAUCCGUAGCUGGUUUGAGAGGACGAUCAGCCACACUGGAACUGAGACACGGUCCAGACUCCUACGGGAGGCAGAAGUGGGGAAUAUUGGACAAUGGGGGAAACCCUGAUCCAGCAAUGCCGCGUGUGCGAUGAAGGCCUGCGGGUUGUAAAGCACUUUCGGUGGGGAAGAAAUGCUCAAGUAUAAUACAUUUGAGAGCUGACAUUACUCACAUAAGAAGCACCGGCAAACUCUGUGCCAGCCGCCGCAGUAACAC